AGCCAUCUGCAGCUGCUCUCCAUUUCCCUCUUCUGCAAGGUGAUGGAAUUGGUAGUGGAAGAGGGUAAAAAGCCCCUGAAGACAAUUGUGAGCUGGAGCCUGCUCCCACUCUUCUUGCACUGUCAUGAUGAGAACUGGGACGUGGCAGAGGCAGGUUUCCUCGGCGCCAUUUUAGAGAGCAGUGGAGGCAGCACUUGACGGAGGUAACAAGGGUGGGUGUGAACUGCAGGGACUAACAGGUUCAACCUUGUAACAACAACUCUGCUUAUUACAACUUCAAAUCAACAGUAACAUUAGAGGUUUUACAUCUUAACAACAACAUAAUUAACACACUUAACUUACUGAAACUUCACAUUUAACAGUAACACUUUCAAUGGCCUUAACUUAUAGGAUUGUCCAUUACAACUCCCCCCUCUAUUCCUUUGAUCGGGCUGAUGCCCGCAUCAAUUUGCUGUUUCUUGCUCUUGGAAAUAAAAUUUCCUGAGUUUUUGAUAUUUAUUAUAUAUCUCUUUUGCCGUCUCGUGGUUUGGCUUCUGGCUUUCCAUCAACAUUAUUUUUGCCUGUUUUUGAGUAUUUACUUCAAGACGUCGAAUACUUGCCUGGACUGUGGAAGUUAGUAUUUUGACUAGACAAGGGAACAGACAAGGUAAAAACACCAAACCGGUUAUUCAACAGAUGGUUAUAAACACAGCCUUUUCCCACCAUGUUCCUUUAAAGGACCAGAACUCAUCCCACCAGUUACUAUUUAUUAGAGGUGUCCAUUCCUGAUUUCCAACAUAGGCCAGUUUGCGGAUUUCCUUAGAUAUAUUUUUUAUUACUGUACUUUUAUCAUCAAUCUCCAAGCAGCACUCAGAUGAGUUGAAUUUUCCACAUAUUCCUCCUUCAUCUGCCAAUAAGUAGUCUACUGCCAACCUAAUUUGAUAAAUUACUGUUCUCGUUUGGGACAAUUGGUCACUUAUAUGUUCGAAUGCUAGCGCUGUUCGAUUUGAAACUUUUUCCAGUACUGCUUGGAGCCUGAUUAUCCUAUUUAACAUAUAGAUAGGGGUACGGUAGCCCCAGGAUCCAUCCUGAGCCCAUGUGGCUGGCCCAUAUGUUUGAAUAAUUUCUUCUGGAGUCCAUACUUUACUUCUCCAUACUUGUGUACCUCCCAUGUCAAUUACAUCUCUUUUCUUUCUAUUAUCCUUCCGUAAGUCAUCAUAUACCGGGACUCCUAAGUGUGCUCCUGAUUUCUUAGGCAAUAGGAAAAAGGCUGGUUUAAUGACCCCUAUGGUGCAACUCCCCAUCCAAUCUCCAGGUAACCUGGUGUAAGCGGUGUUUCCACAGAUCCAGAACAAAUAUUCUGGGGCUUGCCAGAACUCAUCCCCAGUUUCACCUGGGAAUUCCCAGAAGUUUGAUAGUUCCCUAAUCCCCCAGAAGGGAUUUAUUCUUUUUCCUGUACAUUUAUGGAGCUUAUAUCCUUCAUGAUAUAUACAUCCUGUCUCAGUUUUUCCAACAGCCCAAUAUGUAUUGGGUUCCUUUGGGACCCAUUUGGAAUCUUGUUCCCUUAUCAUUAUAUACCUUUUACAUGCCAUUUUUCCUACAGGGGUGUUGUAUCUUUUUCCUAUUCUCAGUAUACAUUCUUCACCUACUACUUGUGAUUUUAAAUUCCAUUUUUCUUUUCCACGGGAUGUCAAAGAUUCAUAAUCUAAUUUUGUUUGUUUCCAUCUUAGAAUUUCUAGUGGGCUUAGGCUAAUUCCCUCCCAUGGCCAAAUUUCUGUCAUUUGAGUACUUCCGCAAACCCAGCAUUCAGUUAAGUUUAACUCUUUGCUUAUCUUCUCCACCAGAUCUAUAAAUAAAUUUCUCUCUGAGGGAGCAUCCGGGAUCUCUCUCUCCCUUAUCAGCUGUUUUUCCUUUACCAAGUCUUUCAAUCCUUCAUGUUCAAAACAAAACCAGGAUUCUCCUACUGGGCACUCCCCAAGCAGGCGUUGCCUAUAAGUGGCUGUAUUCCUGGUAGUCCAAUAUACUUUCCCAUCUUCUCGACAGGUAAUUAACUGAGAGUGAUUAAAACAGCUCGGGUUUAUGUUGGUAUGGACUCUAAAGAAGGACCUCAGGUCUUCCCCAUCAUAGAUAGGAUGAUAACA